CACGUAGGCGGUCUGCUAAGUUCGGAGUGACAGUCACCAGCUUAACUGGUGAAGUACUUUGAAAACUGGCGGACUUGAGAGCGAAAGAGGGACAUGGAAUUCCGGGUGGAGCAGUGAAAUGCGUAGAGAUCCGGAGGAACACCAAAGGCGAAGGCAGUGUCCUGGCUCGUUUCUGACGCUGAGGUGCGAAAGCCAGGGGAGCGAACGGGAUUAGAUACCCCGGUAGUCCUGGCCGUAAACGAUGACCACUAGGCGUGGGAGGGAUCGGCCCCUUCCGUGCCGUAGUCAACACAUUAAGUGGUCCGCCUGGGGAGUACGGUCGCAAGACUAAA
rnacentral:rRNA from 1 species